AUGAACGCUGGCGGCGUGCCUAACACAUGCAAGUCGAGCGGGAAUCGCUGAUUGAGAUUCGGUGAUGAAGCGAUGGAUAGCGGCGGACGGGUGAGUAACGCGUAGGUAAUCUGCCUUCAGCACAGGGAUAGCCUAGGGAAACCUGGAUUAAUACCUGAUAACGCAUUGAAGUCACAUGGCUUUGAUGCCAAAGAUUUAUCGGCUGGAGAUGAACCUGCGUCUGAUUAGAUAGUUGGUGAGGUAACGGCCCACCAAGUCAACGAUCAGUAGCCGACCUGAGAGGGUGAUCGGCCACAUUGGAACUGAGACACGGUCCAAACUCCUACGGGAGGCAGCAGUGGGGAGUAUUGCACAAUGGGCGCAAGCCUGAUGCAAGCAACGCCGCGUGAGCGAUGAAGGUCUUCGGAUCGUAAAGCUCUGUCCUCUGGGAAGAAGAAGUGACGGUACCAGAGGAGGAAGCCCCGGCUAACUACGUGCCAGCAGCCGC
rnacentral:rRNA from 1 species